AUUGAACGCUAGCGGGAUGCUUUACACAUGCAAGUCGAACGAGUGGCGGACGGGUGAGUAAUAUCUCGGAAAGUGCCCAGUAGAGGGGGCUAACUACUCGAAAGAGUGGCUAAUACCGCCUACUAUUGGCGCGGCCGAUAUCGGAUUAGCUCGUUGGGGGGGUAAAGGCUCACCAAGGCAACGAUCCGUAGCUGGUUUGAAAGGAUGACCAGCCAAAAUGGAACUGGUACACGGCCCAGACUCCUACGGGAGGCAGCAGUGGGGAAUUUUGGACAAUGGGGGAAACCCUGAUCCAGCCAUCCCGCGUGUAUGAGAAGGCCUUCGGGUUGUAAAGUACUUUUGGCAGAGAAGCGGUAUCUGCAGAAUAAGCACCGGCUAACUACGUGCCAGCAGCCGCGGUAAUUC
rnacentral:rRNA from 1 species